rnacentral:lncRNA from 15 species
CUGUCAUCUCUUAUUGUGUCAAUGAAGUAAUUCCCUUUUAAAGGCUUGACCCCUCACCCUGGAGGAGCUCGGCCAAUUGCACAGUGCAUUGGAGAAGCCAUGAGGUGAUAACAAAUGACUCAACCGAGGGGGAAGGUGCUAUGCUGGACUCGCCCUGGACUAGUUACACCACUUUGCCAGAGUGCUUGACAGGCUCAGCUCUCCCUGCGCCGGCUGU